GGAAUAUUGCGCAAUGGAGGAAACUCUGACGCAGUGACGCCGCGUAUAGGAAGAAGGUUUUCGGAUUGUAAACUAUUGUCGUUAGGGAAGAUAAAAGACUGUACCUAAGGAGGAAGCUCCGGCUAACUACGUGCCAGCAGCCGCGGUAAUACGUAGGGAGCAAGCGUUAUCCGGAUUUAUUGGGUGUAAAGGGUGCGUAGACGGGAAGACAAGUUAGUUGUGAAAUCCCUCGGCUUAACUGAGGAACUGCAACUAAAACUAUCUUUCUUGAGUGUUGGAGAGGAAAGUGGAAUUCCUAGUGUAGCGGUGAAAUGCGUAGAUAUUAGGAGGAACACCGGUGGCGAAGGCGACUUUCUGGACAAUAACUGACGUUGAGGCACGAAAGUGUGGGGAGCAAACA
rnacentral:rRNA from 1 species